rnacentral:rRNA from 1 species
UGGAUUAGGCAUGCAAGUCGAACGCGAACGUCGGGCUUCGGCCUGGCUAGUAGAGUGGCGAACGGGUGAGUAUCGCGUGGGCAAUCUACCCUCGAGUGGGGAAUAACCAUUCUAACGAGUGGCUAAUACCGCAUGUUUCCGUUUCCUCGCAUGGGGAGACGGGCAAAGGUGGGGAUCUUCGGACCUGCCGCUCGAGGAGGAGCCCGCGUCCCAUUAGCUUGUUGGUGGGGUCACGGCCCACCAAGGCGACGAUGGGUAGCCGAUCUGAGAGGAUGACCGGCCACACUGGGACUGAGAUACGGCCCAGACUCCUACGGGAGGCAGCAGUCGAGAGGCUUCGGCAAUGGGGGAAACCCUGACCGAGCGACGCCGCGUGCGGGAUGAAGGCAUUCGUGUCGUAAACCGCUGUCGGUAGGGAAGAACCCUUCCGGCUUAAUACGCCGGAAGCUGACGGUACCUGCAGAGGAAGCUCCGGCUAACUCCGUGCCAGCAGCCGCGGUAAUACGGAGGGAGCGAACGUUGUUCGGAUUCACUGGGCGUAAAGGGCGAGUAGGCGGCUUUGCAAGUCAGGGGUGAAAUGUCUCGGCUCAACCGAGGACCUGCCUCUGAAACUGCUGGGCUUGAGGUCGCGAGAGGAAACUGGAAUUCCUAGUGUAGCGGUGAAAUGCAUAGAUAUUAGGAAGAACACCAGAGGCGAAGGCGAGUUUCUGGCGCGAACCUGACGCUGAGUCGCGAAAGCUAGGGGAGCGAACGGGAUUAGAUACCCCGGUAGUCCUAGCCGUAAACGAUGGGUACUAAGUGUUGGCCGCUUCGACCCGGUCAGUGCUGUAGCUAACGCGUUAAGUACCCCGCCUGGGGAGUACGGCCGCAAGGUUGAAACUCAAAGGAAUUGACGGGGGCCCGCACAAGCGGUGGA